UUUUGGACAAUGGGGGCAACCCUGAUCCAGCAAUGCCGCGUGCAAGAAGAAGGCCUUCGGGUUGUAAACUGCUUUUGUCAGGGAAGAAAUCCUGUGGGUUAAUACCUCGUGGGGAUGACGGUACCUGAAGAAUAAGCACCGGCUAACUACGUGCCAGCAGCCGCGGUAAUACGUAGGGUGCGAGCGUUAAUCGGAAUUACUGGGCGUAAAGCGUGCGCAGGCGGUUUUGUAAGACAGAGGUGAAAUCCCCGGGCUCAACCUGGGAACUGCCUUUGUGACUGCAAGGCUGGAGUACGGCAGAGGGGGAUGGAAUUCCGCGUGUAGCAGUGAAAUGCGUAGAUAUGCGGAGGAACACCGAUGGCGAAGGCAAUCCCCUGGGCCUGUACUGACGCUCAUGCACGAA
rnacentral:rRNA from 1 species